rnacentral:rRNA from 1 species
GAAGACGGCCAUAAUAGGUUGGAAACACCUGUUCCCAUUCCGAACACAGAAGUUAAGCUUCCUAUGUUAAUGGUUUUAGUUUCUGAAAAGAUGCGAACCCAUUAAGUCGUCCUCU